rnacentral:rRNA from 1 species
UACGUAGGGUGCAAGCGUUAAUCGGAAUUACUGGGCGUAAAGCGUGCGCAGGCGGCUUUGCAAGACAGGUGUGAAAUCCCCGGGCCUAACCUGGGAACUGCAUUUGUGACUGCAUGGCUAGAGUUUGUCAGAGGGGGGUGGAAUUCCACGUGUAGCAGUGAAAUGCGUAGAUAUGUGGAGGAACACCGAUGGCGAAGGCAGCCCCCUGGGAUGUGACUGACGCUCAUGUACGAAAGCGUGGGGAGCAAACAGG